rnacentral:rRNA from 1 species
UUCUUAAAGAAUAAAAUUUUAAGUAAAUCCUGCUCAAUGAGUAUUAAAUAGCCGCAGUUAUUUUGUGCUAAGGUAGCAUAAUCAUUUGCUUUCUAAAUAAAAGAUAGAAUGAAAGGUUAAACGAUAAAAAAUUUUUUAAUUUGAAAUAACGAAAUUAAUUUUAAAGUAAAAAAACUUUAAUAUAUAAAUAAGACGACAAGACCCUGAUAAACUUAUUACAUUUAGUUGGGGCAACUAAAAAACAAAAUUUUAUUUAAACCAUCAAAUACAACUUUAAGAAAAAUUAAAAUAGUUACUAUAGGGAUAACAGCGCAAUUUCUUUCAAAAGUUCACAUUUAAAAAGAAUAUUACGACCUCGAUGUUGAAUUAAUUCCAUUACAAUUAACGCAAAAGUUUUAGUAAAUUAAGUCUGUUCGACUAAUAAUAAAUU